rnacentral:rRNA from 1 species
ACGGAAGGCAGCAGUGAGGAAUAUUGGUCAAUGGACGCAAGUCUGAACCAGCCAUGCCGCGUGCAGGAAUAAGGCCCUAUGGGUCGUAAACUGCUUUUGUGGUGGAGCAAUAAGUCGUACGUGUACGGCGAUGAGAGUACAUCACGAAUAAGCAUCGGCUAACUCCGUGCCAGCAGCCGCGGUAAUACGGAGGAUGCAAGCGUUAUCCGGAUUUAUUGGGUUUAAAGGGUGCGUAGGCUGUGGUCCAAGUCAGGGGUGAAAGCCCGGAGCUCAACUCCGGAACUGCCUUUGAUACUGGAUUGCUGGAAUACGGAUGCCGCGGGAGGAAUGAGUAGUGUAGCGGUGAAAUGCAUAGAUAUUACUCAGAACACCGAUUGCGAAGGCAUCUCACGAAUCCGUCAUUGACGCUGAGGCACGAAAGCGUGGGGAUCAAACAGGAUUAGAUACCCUGGUA